rnacentral:sRNA from 1 species
UAGCAUAGACCAAUGACUUGACGUAGCC